GUUUAAUGAUGAAAACCAUGCGUGUCAACUGAACUUGGGGCUCUCUGUAGCUUUCGGUCUCCAGUCAGCGUACUGCUUACUGGUGUACUUGGGGCUGCAGGACUCUAAGGGCAUGAUCUGACUUAGAGCCUGAAAAC